rnacentral:lncRNA from 1 species
AGAUGAAGAGGAGAGCACUCAAGUUGUAAUGAUUUUAAGGGAGAUGUUACACAAUUAAGAGUAUCGGCUAACUGAAUAAGUCUAGUUCACAUAUCAUUGGAAAUAUUUCUAUUAUUGUUAUGGUUGUUAGAUAAUCAGUGGUUGGAAAUUCAUCGAAGAGAGCUCAAACGUACAUAAUGGAUUGGCUNNNNNNNNNNNNNNNNNNNNNUCGAACGUAUGUAUAUUUGAGCUCAAUCUAGAGAAUUUCUCAACAUUCACCACUUGAUUGGCCAGAAUACCACUCCCAGACCAGUUUGUAUACUAGAAGGAGUUAUUACCAUUACCCAGAAUAAAUUGAUAUCCUUCUUUGAGUGCCAAUAAAGCUUUCAUAAUAGCAUUCUAAGUGACUGUACCUGGUUUUUUGGUUAUGUUAAGCAGGACAUCUUCUUUA